GAUGAACGCUGGCGGCGUGCCUAAUACAUGCAAGUCGAGCGAACGGACAAGAAGCUUGCUUCUCUGAUGUUAGCGGCGGACGGGUGAGUAACACGUGGAUAACCUACCUAUAAGACUGGGAUAACUUCGGGAAACCGGAGCUAAUACCGGAUAAUAUUUUGAACCGCAUGGUUCAAAAGUGAAAGACGGUCUUGCUGUCACUUAUAGAUGGAUCCGCGCUGCAUUAGCUAGUUGGUAAGGUAACGGCUUACCAAGGCAACGAUGCAUAGCCGACCUGAGAGGGUGAUCGGCCACACUGGAACUGAGACACGGUCCAGACUCCUACGGGAGGCAGCAGUAGGGAAUCUUCCGCAAUGGGCGAAAGCCUGACGGAGCAACGCCGCGUGAGUGAUGAAGGUCUUCGGAUCGUAAAACUCUGUUAUUAGGGAAGAACAUAUGUGUAAGUAACUGUGCACAUCUUGACGGUACCUAAUCAGAAAGCCACGGCUAACUACGUG
rnacentral:rRNA from 1 species